rnacentral:rRNA from 1 species
UCACCGGCGGACGGGUGCGUAACGCGUACAGAACGUACCUCAGGGCGGGAGAUAGCGGCGGGAAACUGCCGGUAAUACCCCAUGGUAUUGUGAAUCGGCAUCGAUUUACAAUUAAAGUUACGGCGCCCUGAGAUCGCUGUGCGUCUGAUUAGCUAGUUGGCGGGGUAACGGCCCACCAAGGCGACGAUCAGUAGGGGGUGUGAGAGCAUGGCCCCCCACACGGGUACUGAGACACGGACCCG